UACAGAGACUGCAAGCGUUAUUCGGAUUCACUGGGCGUAAAGGGUGCGCAGGCGGUCGGGUGUGUCAGAUGUGAAAUCCCGAGGCUCAACCUCGGAACUGCGUCUGAAACUACUCGACUAGAGUACUGGAGAGGGAAACGGAAUUCACGGUGUAGCAGUGAAAUGCGUAGAUAUCGUGAGGAACACCAGAGGCGAAGGCGGUUCCUGGACAGUUACUGACGCUCAUGCACGAAAGCGUGGGGAGCAAACAGG
rnacentral:rRNA from 1 species